GGGUCAGUAGGUUGGUCGUGCCACCGGUACGUACUGGUCUCACUGAUUCCUCCUUCCUGAAGAACCGUAAUGCCAUUAAUUUGGUGUUGCGGGGAAGCAGGACUGUUACUUUGAAAAAAUUAGAGUGUUUAAGGCAAGCUAACGCUUGAAUACAUUAGCAUGGAAUAAUGAAAUAGGACGAUCGAUCCUAUUUUGUUGGUUUCUAGGAUUGACGUA
rnacentral:rRNA from 1 species